ACUCGAUCAAAUGAUUAGCAUUCAAUUUUUUCUUUCUUCUUCUUUUUUUUUUUGCCUGCUCGCUUUCGGGGAUUAAUAAUAAUCGAAUCGAGGGAUCAUCGCGAGGCUCGAGCGCGAUCGAGAUCAGGUGGGGGCCAAGAAAGAUCUCCAUCGAUCCAUCACUGAUCUGCACUCCCCCUCUCUCUCUCGCUACUCCGCAAAACCUCCCUGCUCGCCUUCUCUCUCCUCGAGCUCAGAGAGGGAGAGCAGUCGAGAGCGUGCGCGAAUGGCGCGGAGGCGACGCGGCGGUUGCCCGGAGUUUCCGACGGAAGCGUAGAUCGGAGCGCGCGCGGGGGAGAGGUUUUGGCGCUCGUCGCCGGAAUCCGGUGUCUCUGGUGAAGUUGCGCGGGGGUUCGUUUCUGAAACCGCUGCUGGUUUCUGUCCGCGCGCGAGGGAGCCGGCGAGCUGAUUUGAUUGGCGAAUCGAGUUUCGUUUUUUCUCUGGUAAUCGGUUUUCUGGAGAGGAAGUUUCGCGAGGAUCGGGGUUGGGGUUUUCUGGGAGUGAGGCUCGCUCUCGCUCGCUUGCUCUCAAGAUUCGAGCCGAGUGAGCUUCGAAUGGGCGCGAAGGAUUAUUUCGAGGAUGCUCUGGACGCGAAGGCCAAGAUCAUGAGCAAUGAUUAGUUCUCUCGGUGGAAUCUGACCAGGCGCCAUUUCCUUCUGGCAAAUUGGUCGAGAUGCGAAGUACGGCAGAUGGUGGCAGGGAUAAAAAGGUGCGCAAGAUUCGCAGGCACUCGCCAUCCGGUGAGGAAGCCAGCGAUGGAGGAGGGGUUCCUUUGAAGAAAGGCCCUUGGACAGCGGCGGAAGAUGCAAUUUUGGUCGACUAUGUCACUAAGCAUGGGGAGGGAAAUUGGAAUGCGGUCCAGAAGCAUUCAGGGCUUGCCAGGUGUGGGAAAAGCUGUCGUUUGCGGUGGGCAAAUCACCUGAGACCUGAUCUGAAGAAAGGUGCAUUUUCUCCCGAGGAAGAGCGUCUUAUUAUUGAGCUCCACGCGAAAAUGGGAAACAAAUGGGCUCGAAUGGCUGCAGAGUUACCCGGACGUACAGACAAUGAGAUAAAGAACUACUGGAAUACAAGAAUUAAACGGCUGCAACGCACUGGCAUGCCUAUAUACCCAACUGAGGUUUGUCUGCAAGUGUCAAGUGGGAAUCAAGAAAUUCAUAACAUGGGUAACUUGCAUACUGCAGGCGAAGAUAAUUGUGAUCUCUCACAGGCAGAGACACUUGAGAUCCCAGAGGUGGAUUUUAGAAAACUGGAACUGCAUCUAGGUUUCUCGUCUUUUUGGUCUACACUUUUGGACGUUCCUCCUUGUGGCUUUGGGAGAGAGGCAAUGUGUCUAUCUGAUGCUUACUGCCUUCCAAUUCCAUCAAUCCGGUCUCCUAAACGCCUUCGGGGGUAUGAAACCCCAUUUCCUGUUUUGGAUGCCGGAAGCCAUGACAGUUUCUCUUCAUUUGGUCAGUAUGCUGACUAUUCCUCCGAGAUCACCCCCGAGUCCUUUGUGUUGUCAUCGCCAUAUGAUGUCAAUCCUGACUCAACUAACCAGUCUCUACUGGGCGAUCUCCCCGGCAGCCAUGCCUUUCUAAAUGGCAACUACCCUUCUUCUGUGCCCCAUUUGGAGGCCAUGAAGUCGGAGCUCCCUUCACUCCAAUAUACAGAAACUCAGCAAAGUAGCUGUGGUACUCCUGCAUCCCCAUGGCCUUCCCUUGAGUCUGUUGAUCCUCUAAUACAGUCACCUCCAUGUGAGCACUAUCAAUCGGAUUGUCAUUCACCGCAGAGGUGCGGCCUACUGGAAGCAGUUAUCUAUGAAGCCUGCUCUAAGCAAAAAUCUUGCGCACAGACUACAGGCGUUUCUGGCGAUGUAGCUUACAACUCUUCUCCAGUUCAGCUUGGGACAAAGCAGGAAAUACAUGCUGCCCCAGACUCUCCUUUUGGUCAUAAUGCUACAUCAGUGCUCAAUGAUUGCGCUAUUGCCAGUGGAAAAUCUUUUGAAGAACCCCGAUCCGCCGACACCAUGCCUGGAUUUGACAUUAAGCCUGAGGAAGAUAGCAAACCUUUCACUGAUUUUGAUGGAAAGCAAGAGAUCCCAGAUCAGAUGCACAUUAACGAGCCAGAUGCUUUGCUUGAUUUAGAUUGGUGCCAGCACAAAAGUCAGCCUAGCGAAGACAAAAUUCGGGCAGAUUAUAUAGGAGCUCUUCUCGGUACCGAUUUUUAGUGAGUCCCCCCGGAAUACGGGUGAUAGGACCGCAUUGCACUAGUAGACAACACGACUAUGAUGUGCCUUAUCGUCAGCCCUUGGGAAUAUCGCACUGGAAGCAUCAUGUUGGACUGGGCCCUUAGCUCUAGACUUGCAACUUCUUGUUCUCUUGUGGUGUUUUAUUUGCUAGUGUUUUAUCAAUCCAUGGGCAUGACACCCCAGACUAGGAGAAAGUGUUGCAUGGAGCAGCUGCAGCACCAACCUGGUGGGGGCGAAGGAGUCGAUCUUCCACCUAAUGAUUCUCGACUCUUUGCUUGGACUUUAAUAUAUGCCAGAGUCAUGACAGGUAUGCUCAGUGACCAUAGCGAGGCCAGGCCAUCGGGCAGUUCCUCAGAGGCUCGCGUCCAUCACUCAUACUGUCUCUCCCGUUAAAGAGGGCUGUAUCCACAUCCUAGACCGGUGAAUGCGAGGGAAUGUUGCUUCUGAAUCGAAGAAGAAAAAUGGAUGAGAUGGACCAGUCUCAGGCGAUAAAUCUUUUUGCAGAAAGCACGAACCGUUUAGUUGCCUUCCAAUGCAGCAUGCCGCUGAUAGCCCCUCUCCUGGUCGAACGCUGGACGUACUGAUGAGUUGGUUAGUCGACCAUGCAAUAAUUCAAAUGCUUCAUCGACCCUAAAAGUAACCAAAAAGUAGAAGAUCGGAAUCAAUCUGGUAACGUGAAACGGCUCGUGAUAAAGCAAUCACUCGUCGGAUCGGGGAGGAGCUGAAACGAGAAAAAACCGCACCCGCAUAAGAUUGCGAGCCUGGCCGUCAAGCCCUGAUCAGGUCUACCGCGAUUGAUUAUUGCUAUUAUUAUUAUUCUAAAAGCCAUACAUUUCCUUAAAUGCGGAUUUGAGGCGCUGUCUAUUUUAGGUAGAGUGUGCACGCUCCUAACACUGCAAUAAAUAUAGAGCGAAGCCACCGACUUAUUACUUG